UACGAAGGGGGCUAGCGUUGCUCGGAAUCACUGGGCGUAAAGCGCACGUAGGCGGCUUUUUAAGUCAGGGGUGAAAUCCUGGAGCUCAACUCCAGAACUGCCUUUGAUACCGAGAAGCUUGAGUCCGGGAGAGGUGAGUGGAACUGCGAGUGUAGAGGUGAAAUUCGUAGAUAUUCGCAAGAACACCAGUGGCGAAGGCGGCUCACUGGCCCGGUACUGACGCUGAGGUGCGAAAGCGUGGGGAGCAAACAGG
rnacentral:rRNA from 1 species